rnacentral:rRNA from 1 species
CAUUACAAGUGAGGCUACCGAACGUUGGAAACAGCGGUUAGGAGCUUACACCCACCCGUGUUCACAUACUAUUGUUGCUUUGGCGGGCCGUGGCCUCCACUGCGGGCUCUGCUCGUGUGUGCCCGCCAGAGAACCAAACUCUGAAUGUUAGUGAUGUCCGAGUACUAUCUAAUAGUUAAAACUUUCAACAACGGAUCUCUUGGUUCUGGCAUCGAUGAAGAACGCAGCGAAAUGCGAUAAGUAAUGUGAAUUGCAGAAUUCAGUGAAUCAUCGAAUCUUUGAACGCACAUUGCGCCCUGUGGUAUUCCGCAGGGCAUGCCUGUUCGAGCGUCAUUUAACCACUCACGCCUAGCGUGGUAUUGGGGCACGCGGUCUCCGCGGCCCUCAAAAUUAGUGGCGGCGCCGGUGGGCUCUAAGCGUAGUACAUACUCCCGCUAUAGAGUUCCCCCCGGUGGCUCGCCAGAACCCCCAAUUUUUUACAGGUUG